UCCUUGAUGGUCUAGUGGUUAAGACACCAGCCUUCCACUGCAGGGGGCACAGGUUUGAUCCCUGGUUGGGAAA
rnacentral:tRNA from 1 species